rfam:Asaia platycodi SF2.1, WGS project CBLX01000000 data, contig: 49
CGACGUUCUCAGGGCGGGGUGAAACUCCCCACCGGCGGUAGGUGCCUCUGGCACGAGCCCGCGAGCGCCUCAGGCCCAUCAGGCCCGGGGGUCAGCAGAUCCGGUCCAAAUCCGGAGCCGACGGUCAUAGUCCGGAUGGAAGAGAACAGGA